CGAAAAUAUGUAGUUUUAAUGAUACAGCGCAUUAAAGAUCUAUCCAAGACCCGUUUUUUUUCGGGUUGUGGUACAGUGCCAAGAAGUCCGGUACCGAUUUACAAAAACUGCUAACAGGCACCGACAAAAAAAUCAAAUAAUAUCUUACAUACCGGGAAUGGCGAUUCUGUCCCAACCAAACAUUGUGAGGAUGGUAGAAAUUUCUACAAAGAAAGAGAGAGACAAUCCACACCUUUAAGGUGAACUACAUGCAAAUAAGCAAGAUGUUCCAGUGCUGUUCUGAUGACGCAGCAGGUGCUGUAGGGGUCCAUCCACUGACCAGCUGAGCUGGUGGCAGAUGACCUAUGUGUACAAGAGGACACACCACAUAUAUAAUUAAGGCGAGGAUGGCCAAUGAUCACUUCAGUGCAGAUGCGCACAACACUCGAACUCAUAAGGGAAUCAGUGAACUCCCACAAGUAACAAGAAUAACAGGCAAGGGGCACUGCAUCAGUAUUGUGUGUUUAAGUUAACAAUUUACAUCUGAUGCAGGUGUCCUAGGGCAGUCCAUGCAGUUACGAUGACACUGUGUCUGGAUGGCGCAGUAGUCAGCACAUCUGCCUAGUAAGCAGGAGACCUGAGUUUGAAUCCCAAUCCAGCAGAAAUUUUCAACUUUCAAUUUCGAUUUAAAUCAAUGAUCACUGGCAGCUAUUGUCAUUAACUCCUUUGUGCCGUAAUGAUAUCAUUUUCAAUACAUUUUGGUGUUGUGGUACUAUGUGCAUGUCAGGUCCUUUGUCCAAAGUAAUUUUUCCUAUACAAGUCAAUUAUUUGAGAUGUGUACAAGAGGACACACCACAUAUAUAAUUAAGGCGAGGAUGGCCAAUGAUCACUUCAGUGCAGAUGCGCACAACACUCGAACUCAUAAGGGAAUCAGUGAACUCCCACAAGUAACAAGAAUAACAGGCAAGGGGCACUGCAUCAGUAUUGUGUGUUUAAGUUAACAAUUUACAUCUGAUGCAGGUGUCCUAGGGCAGUCCAUGCAGUUACGAUGACACUGUGUCUGGAUGGCGCAGUAGUCAGCACAUCUGCCUAGUAAGCAGGAGACCUGAGUUUGAAUCCCAAUCCAGCAGAAAUUUUCAACUUUCAAUUUCGAUUUAAAUCAAUGAUCACUGGCAGCUAUUGUCAUUAACUCCUUUGUGCCGUAAUGAUAUCAUUUUCAAUACAUUUUGGUGUUGUGGUACUAUGUGCAUGUCAGGUCCUUUGUCCAAAGUAAUUUUUCCUAUACAAGUCAAUUAUUUGAGGUUCAAGCUGCUGAAGCAAUCUCAGAAUAUUACCCUCACUGCUCAGUGUGCAUAUUAAGGAAAGCUGUCAUUAAAACUCGCAAAACUAAAAGACAUGAUGACAUUGACAGAGUAGUACAUACCACAUAAUGACAAGCAGUAUUACAAAGCACUGAAGUGUACAUUACGUGAGGGAAGUGCAGACUGUACUGACUAUCUUACAGAAAAGAAAGAUAACACUUCAGUAUUGAACAUUCAUCAUGCAGUGAUGUGUACAAGAGGACACACCACAUAUAUAAUUAAGGCGAGGAUGGCCAAUGAUCACUUCAGUGCAGAUGCGCACAACACUCGAACUCAUAAGGGAAUCAGUGAACUCCCACAAGUAACAAGAAUAACAGGCAAGGGGCACUGCAUCAGU